rnacentral:rRNA from 1 species
UACAGAGGGUGCGAGCGUUGUCCGGAAUCACUGGGCGUAAAGCGCACGUAGGCGGGUUGUUAAGUCGGGGGUGAAAUCCUGGAGCUCAACUCCAGAACUGCCUUCGAUACUGGCGACCUUGAGUCCGGGAGAGGUGAGUGGAACUCCGAGUGUAGAGGUGAAAUUCGUAGAUAUUCGGAAGAACACCAGUGGCGAAGGCGGCUCACUGGCCCGGUACUGACGCUGAGGUGCGAAAGCGUGGGGAGCAAACAGG